UGAAUACGAGAUGCUACGGCAUUGAAGCAGUGUAUGUCAGACUUCCAAGAAAAGCUCGCAAUGUCAUAAACAAUAAAUGCCUGUACCAUAACCGACACAGGUGGGUAGGUAGAGUAUACUAAGGGGCGCGAGAUAACUCUCUCUAAGGAACUCGGCAAAAUGACUCCGUAACUUCGGGAGAAGGAGUGCCUUAUUUUAUAAGGUUGCAAUAACAAGAUCCAAGCAACUGUUUACCAAAAACACAGGUCUCCGCUAAGUCGAAAGACGAUGUAUGGGGGCUGACGCCUGCCCAGUGCCAGAAGGUUAAAGAAGUUGGUUAGCUUCGGCGAAGCUGACGACUGAAGCCCUGGUGAACGGCGGCCGUAACAAUAACGGUCCUAAGGUAGCGAAAUUCCUUGUCGGGUAGGUUCCGACCCGCACGAAAGGCGUAAUGAUUUGGAUACUGUCUCGGAGAGGGGCUCGGUGAAAUAGACUUGUCUGUGAAGAUGCGGACUACCUGCACCUGGACAGAAAGACCCUAUGAAGCUUUACUGUAACUUGAGAUUGAAAUUGGACUUUAUUUGCGCAGUAUAGGUGGGAGACGUUGAGAAUAUUCUUGCGGGAAUAUUGGAGUCAUCAGUGAGAUACCACUCUUGUAAUGUUAGAUUUCUAACUUUGUAUCAUUAUCUGGUCAAAGGACAGUUUCAGGCGGGCAGUUUGACUGGGGCGGUCGCCUCCUAAACGGUAACGGAGGCGCACAAAGGUUUCCUCUGAACGUGUAGAAAUCGUAUCUAGAGUGUAAAGGCAUAAGGAAGCUUGACUGUGAGACCUACAAGUCGAGCAGGGACGAAAGUCGGUCUUAGUGAUCUGACGGUGCUGAGUGGAAAGGCCGUCACUCAACGGAUAAAAGUUACUCUAGGAUAACAGGCUGAUCUCCCCCAAGAGUUCACAUCGACGGGGAGGUUUGGCACCUUGAUGUCGGCUCAUCGCAUCCUGGGGCGGUAGUACGUCCCAAGGGUUGGGCUGUUCGCCCAUGAAAGCGGUACGCGAGCUGGGUUCAGAACGUCGUGAGACAGUUCGGUCCAUAUCCAGUGUAGGCGUUAGAAUAUUGAGAGGAGCCUUCUUUAGUACGAGAGGACCGAGAAGGACAUACCUCUGGUGUACCAGUUAUCGUGCCAACGGUAAACGCUGGGUAGCUAUGUAUGGAGUGGAUAACCGCUGAAAGCAUCUAAGUGGGAAGCCCACCUCAAGAUAAG
rnacentral:rRNA from 1 species